rnacentral:rRNA from 1 species
UACGUAGGGUGCGAGCGUUAAUCGGAAUUACUGGGCGUAAAGUGUGCGCAGGCGGCCGAGCAAGUCGAGUGUGAAAGCCCCGAGCUUAACUUGGGAACUGCGCUCGAAACUACUUGGCUAGAGUGUGGCAGAGGGAGGUGGAAUUCCACGUGUAGCGGUGAAAUGCGUAGAGAUGUGGAGGAACACCCGUAGCGAAGGCGGCACUCUGGGCCGAUACUGACACUGAGGAGCGAAAGCGUGGGGAGCGAACAGG